GAUGAAGAACGCAGCGAAAUGCGAUAAGUAAUGCGAAUUGCAGAAUUCAGUGAGUCAUCGAAUCUUUGAACGCACAUUGCGCCCUGUGGUAUUCCGCAGGGCAUGCCUGUUCGAGCGUCAUUUCAACCCUCAAGCCUCGCUUGGUGUUGGGCCCUGCCCGCCGCGGCCGGCCCUAAAGAUAGUGGCGGCGCCGCCUGGCCCUCAGCGUAAUACAGCUCUCGCUCCAGGGUCCGGCGGCAGCCUGCCAGAACCCCCCAACUCUGUGGUUGACCUCGGAUCAGGUAGGGAUACCCGCUGAACUUAAGCAUAUCAAUAAGCGGAGGA
rnacentral:misc_RNA from 1 species